rnacentral:rRNA from 1 species
UAAGGAAUAUUGGUCAAUGGACGCAAGUCUGAACCAGCCAUGCCGCGUGACGGAUGAAGGUCCUCUGGAUUGUAAACUUCUUUUAUCUGGGACGAAAACGGGAUUUUUAUCUCAAUUGACGGUACCAGAGGAAUAAGCACCGGCUAACUCCGUGCCAGCAGCCGCGGUAAUACGGAGGGUGCGAGCGUUAUCCGGAUUUACUGGGUUUAAAGGGUGCGUAGGUGGGCUUAUAAGUCAGUGGUGAAAUCUCCGAGCUUAACUUGGAAACUGCCGUUGAUACUAUAGGUCUUGAAUUAUCUGGAGGUAAGCGGAAUAUGUCAUGUAGCGGUGAAAUGCUUAGAUAUGACAUAGAACACCAAUUGCGAAGGCAGCUUACUACAUAUAAAUUGACGCUGAGGCACGAAAGCGUGGGGAUCAAACA